UACGUAGGGUGCAAGCGUUGUCCGGAAUUAUUGGGCGUAAAGAGCUUGUAGGCGGUUUGUCGCGUCUGCUGUGAAUUUCGGGGCUCAACCCCGAACUUGCAGUGGGUACGGGCAGACUAGAGUGUGGUAGGGGAGACUGGAAUUCCUGGUGUAGCGGUGAAAUGCGCGAUAUCGGGAGGAACACCGGUGGCGAAGGCGGUUCUCUGGGC
rnacentral:rRNA from 1 species